GCCAGGGCCUCGGUGAGAUAACAGAUGAGGAAGUGCAAUGUGUCACGUGCUCCACAGGUGAGGCUCCAGUCUUUUGUCUCUUUUCCCCCAGAACCUGUGCCCUCCCCCAAGAUCCUGAUCCAGUCAACAUCCGUCUCGUCAGACUGGUGCAAUGUCACCCUGCUAUGCUCAACCUCAGGAACUACAGAGAGCCUCAUGGUGACCUGGGAGAGCAAGGACAUCCCCAGAGAACUAGAGCAGAGAGGGACGCCAGGACCAGUCCCCAACCCCUGGACCCUGACUCUGAGGCUUCCCUUGAGCCAGCAUAAUGCCAGCCUUACCUGCGUGGUCAGCAAUGACGUGGACCGGAAAAGUGACAACUCAGACCUUGGGAACAUCUGUGCCAAACAAAAAAGUGCACAUGAACAGGCCGUAGUUGGACCCCUGCAAUGCAUCAUAAAAUCUUCUCUGGUUGUACUGUUGAUCCUGGUGGCUGGACUGUUUUGGAAGACUUGUGAGAAGAAGACUAAGACAAUGCAGAAUUGCAGGAAGACCACAGGGCAAUGGCAAUAACAUCUAUGGAAAUCUGACGGAGUAGGAGUCUGCCUCAGAAUGGGUAUCAGUGAACAACAGCUGGAAGAAGAGGAGCUUCUCGCUACUAUCUACACGGAGAUCCAUAGACCAGCUCAGGCCAUGAAGAUCAUUUAAUUGGAGGAAGCAGGAAAAAUCCAGCACUCCUGGGACACCUUCACUUUGAGCUUGAAACCUGCAUACAUCUGCCUGUACUGACUUCAGUCCAGCCCUAGCUCCUGCUCUGCAUUACCCUUACUGUGGCCACAGUUUCCUGGGAAGCAGUGGUCCUAUCAUUUCCUUGGCUCCCUCCAGCAGCUGCCCAGACACAGAGACUGUAUAAGUGCUGAUCGUGCUCUGGUGGAUGGAAUUAGGACCUGGGUUUCGGAUGAUGAGUUGCGGGGUGGAGACCUAGAUCCCCGGACUUCACUAUCUACACACAUUCUCUCUCCGAGGUGGUGACCAUCUGCCAAUCCCAGGACUCUGAACGGUAUGUUAUUUUUUGUGGCAAUAGAGACUUCGCAGCUGUGAUCGAGGUUUAGAACCUUGAGGUGGGAUAUUAUUCUGAAUGAUCUGGGUGGGACCGAAUUUUAAAUUUUAAAUUUAAAUUUCUUAGAAUUUUAAAUUUCUUAAAUUAGGACUCACAAUUUAAUCAUGUAAGUCCUAAAAAGUGGAAGGAAAGAAAACUGGGUCAGAGAGACAGGAUGUGAGGACUUGACCCCUAAUGCUGACCUUCAGAUUAGAGUAAGGGGAUCACAACCAAGAUGUGGCAGCUUCUAGAACCUGGGACAAGCCCUGAGUUACAGCCAACAAGAAAAUGAGGAUCUUAAACUUACAGUCCCAAAGAAAUGAAUUCUGGCACAAGAAUGAUCAGGAAAUACUUACCAAGAACAAGAAUGUAAAAUUCUCUGUUGUAAAUGAUAUAUAUGGUAAUAUCAUUGAUUAUAUUGUUACUAUAUGUAUAUUUUGAAAACCAUAUUGUGUACUAUAGAGAUGUACAAUAGUGGAAUGAAAAUAAGAAAUUUUAAGAUUAAAAAAAAGAAAAAUGUUGUGGCCAGCAGGUGGUGUGGUGGUUCAGUUGGUGGAUUCCUGUAUGGCCAAACUUGAUUCAAGUCCUGGACCUGGUAGCUUGCUUUUUCACUUUCCUUUUCUCUCUCUGGUCAAAUUAAAAACUAAUAAUAAUAAUAAAUAAAUUUAAAUAAAUAAAUAAUU